rnacentral:rRNA from 1 species
AUUGAACGCUGGCGGCAUGCCUAACACAUGCAAGUCGGACGAGCGGCGGACGGGUGAGUAAUGUAUGGGGAUCUGCCUGAUGGCGGGGGAUAACUACUGGAAACGGUAGCUAAUACCGCAUACCAUCAGAUGAACCCAUAUGGGAUUAGCUGGUAGGUGGGGUAACGGCUCACCUAGGCGACGAUCCCUAGCUGGUCUGAGAGGAUGAUCAGCCACACUGGGACUGAGACACGGCCCAGACUCCUACGGGAGGCAGCAGUGGGGAAUAUUGCACAAUGGGCGCAAGCCUGAUGCAGCCAUGCCGCGUGUAUGAAGAAGGCCUUCGGGUUGUAAAGUACUUUCGGCAGGGAGGCGGUACCGACAGAAGAAGCACCGGCUAACUCCGUGCCAGCAGCCGCGGUAAUUC